AGCAGCCGCGGUAAUUCCAGCUCCAAUAGCGUAUAUUAAAGUUGUUGCAGUUAAAAAGCUCGUAGUUGAAUUUCGGGAUCAAUACGCCUGUCGUGCCUUCGGUACGUACGGGUGUAAUUGGUCUCUACCUUCUGAGGAUCCUUGAUGUCAUUAAUUUGGUGUCUUAGGGAAUCAGGACUGUUACCUUGAAAAAAUUAGAGUGUUUAAAGCAGGCAUACGCUUGAAUACAUUAGCAUGGAAUAAUGAAAUAGGACGUUCGAUUCUAUUUUGUUGGUUUCUAGGAUCGACGUAAUGAUUAAUAGGGAUAGUUGGGGGCAUUAGUAUUCAAUUGUCAGAGGUGAAAUUCUUGGAUUUAUUGAAGACUAACUACUGCGAAAGCAUUUGCCAAGGAUGUUUUCAUUAAUCAAGAACGAAAGUUAGGGGAUCGAAGACGAUCAGAUACCGUCGUAGUCUUAACCAUAAACUAUGCCGACUAGGGAUCGGAUGAUGUUAAUUUUUAAUGACUCAUUCGGCGCCUUAA
rnacentral:rRNA from 1 species